GGCGGACAGUGGCGGUGACAGCCGCGCGGCGCGGGGCGGCCCGGCCCGGAGUUUAAAUGUCCCCGAGAGGAGAGGGUGUCUAGGCGGGCGCCAACUUUCCUUAAUACCCGCUUGGCGCCGCGCUCAUUGGCUGCGGGCGCGCGUGACGUCACGGGGCGAGUCGGGUUCGGCUCGAGAGGUCCGGGCCGGGACCCCAAUCCGCACCAGGUCCAGGCCUCUGGACCCGCUCCCAGCCGACCGGCCCGCCCUCCUAGGGCGCAGGGACCACCUCAUCCCUUUCUGGGACCGGGCCUGCCCAGGCUUCGGUCAGUGCUCUUUGGGUGGCCACCCUGUCCCCUCCUCAGUUUCCGGGAGUCACUUGGUCAGAGGGACCCCCGAGUGCGCGCCGGGUCGACCGGGCCGCUGCAGAAGCCUGGCAGGGGCUCAAGGCGCCAUGAUCCCGGCCUGGCUCUGCCCGGUGCCCCAUCCCUGCUGGACACGGGAUCUGAAGGGAUGAACGCCCUACCCGGCCCGCGGGGCCUGCCCGGGCUGAAAGGCUCCAGCCGCGUAGAAAAUGCAGAAAUUAAGAGAAGAAGAGGAGAAGUGCGCACACUACUGAGAAAACACCAUGUGCAUCUCUGGAGCAUUGCAGACGCCAUACCAGCGUAGCCCAGAGAAGAAACCAGCUGGGCUGUGAGGGUGCUUUCCUGCUCCUCCCUUCCUUCUUUCGUUUUAACCCUUUUUAUAUUUUAGAUGAAAAUUGCGGGAACGUUUUGUGAACCCGAACGUAAAAAAGGAAGCUAUUUAGCAGAGGCGCUGUUUGCGGCUCUUCGCCUGUCUGAGGGACUCCAUUGGGCCUGCUCUGCACACCUCUGAUUUCUCUGCCCUUACAAGAAGAGCAUCUCGGGCCUCCUUCUCUGCAAAAAGUUUUCUUCAACCUUGGAGAAAAAUAUCCAGUCCUUCCAGUUAGAGUUCCCAGUACUAAAUCCCUACUUCAGUCAGUUCAAGGAAUCGGCCACCCUCUCCUAAGCGCGUUUCCUAUGAAGGCAUCGCGCACUGUGUUUGAUUUCUGUCUCUCCGUCUGGGUGGAGAUGGAGACAUCAGCUGAAUUCCCUGGGGGUGAUUGGAUGCGACUCGCUGCAAGUCGACAGGCACGUCCUGGAUGUUAGAGAUUCACUUCUGCUCAACGUGACAAGGCCGGCUUCGAUCUGCAAUUGUAUUUGAAUGGGCAAUGAGCGGAAAGAUGCCUCGUCAUUAAGCCUGCUUCUACUUUAGCAAAAUAAGGGGCAGCUUCAUUUGCACACAAAUGCUCAUGAAGCUCGGAUUCCUGCAACUCUUUAAUAAAGGGGUGGCUGUGUAAUCUAAACUGGAGGUGAGGAGGAGGCAGAGGGAGAUGAGGUGCUCCACUGCGUGCCCCCCAAGGUCUGUGUGAUCCAGUUGACUUUUUUACUUGAAAUCUUAAAUAAGAUGGGAGUUGUAACAAGAGGAUUGGCACUUACUCCGUGACCCUUAUAAUUGGAUUAAAUAUAGACUGAGACAUACAAAGACACCGGAGAUUGACACCUGCCAACCGGACUUCCUUAUGACUGAUGGUGAUGCUUCGUGCUGGCAACAAUAAUGAAAUAAAUUGUACGGAUAAAACAGCGCAUUUGUCAUUUCCGUGCCAUGAGUGAGGAAGUCAACAGUGAGGCAAGCUGUUAGCUGACAGGAGAGAGCGGGAGGCGAGCUAAAGAGAUAAAUAAGG
ensembl:lncRNA